ACACAGCCAAGGGGAAUGGGGAGGAUGAGAGGAUAAACACCAGCAAGAAAAUGAGGUGUGGACGUGAGCAGAUCCCGCCAGCCACCUGCCUGUAAAACUCUGUUCUGUGUUUGUACGUGGCCGAAGGCACGCUCUGUCAGUGCAGAGGGAGGCUGCAGAGGCAUAGGGACUGGACAGCACUUACAGAUCGGAAUGACAGCGAAGGGUUACAAAGCUUCCUAUGAAACUGAAUCUGCUGUUUAUGCUUCUCUGGCCUGCGUUAGGCCAUAGAUGAAGUCACACUAGUCAAGGUGAUGCAGCCACCUUGAGAACUGGAUGGAACUCCCCACUCCCCGCCACUUUGUCUGGUCCCUUUACACUUGAGUGUGUUCACAGCUGGUUGCUACAGCCAAUAGGAACUGACAUGCUGAGUCCUCCAGCACACCGCCGUCCUCCUUCCAGCCCAAAUCUGGGCUCUGGGUUAGCUCCUGCACAGAAGUGGAAUAUACAAGCAGUCUACGUUGCAGCAGUCUAUGUUUCCUGUGGAAGGGAAAUGGAGAUGUGGAGAAGAAGCAGUGAGAAGAUCUUGUGGCUAAUGUCCCCAAAGACAUUCACAGCCCAGUCUUGCAACCUGUGACUACUGCCUUGCAUAGCAAGAAGGCCAGACUGCACCACUGCGAUUCAGCUAAGGAUUCUGGAAUGGCGGAUAUGACUGGUGCUCCAGCAGUCCCCCUGGUCUACCACGGACACAUAAGGUAGAAGCUGUGCACUAAGAUGCUCUAACAAGCAGAUGACAAUCCUGAAUCCCUGGUCACUCCAGUGCUGCCACUCCAGCCUGGGUCAGCCUUCUGCUGGAUUUCAGUACCUUCUGCAGUAGUCUCCAGAGGCCAAUACACGGUGUACAGGAUCCUGACAACCCAGAAAAAAAUCGGACGCAGCCCAGAGGCUCAGCGUGGCAGUGAGCAGAGAGAAGACCCCUGCCCAGGACCACUGCUCAGUUCCAGGUGGUUGGGCAAGACUCAGGGACAGAGGACAGAAUGGAGAGGACAGUCACCGCGCAGCCUCUAAGAACAGAGCCAGAUGCCUCAUUGGGGAGGAAGGUAGCCUUUCCAGGAGCACAGCAAGCCGGGACUUGUGGAAACCAGAGCCCCCGCUGGCAGAGGGGAUGGACAGGGGAACCAGAAUUCAAAGAGACUCUUCAGAGUAGAAUGAAUAAGCCAUGCAAAAGGAAAUGCUAAGAAUACUUGUGUACCUGGAUGACAGUUUACAGAGCACCAUCUUGGCUUCCUGCACUACAGGAUAAAAUCUGACACACCUACAUGCCUCUCUCAUUUGAUGGCAGGAAGCUGGCUCAGAAGCACACCAGGACAAAUCCAAUGGCAAGAGACAGCCAGGGCAGCACUCCAUGAGUAUGCACACUGAGAAAGGGCCACAGCAUCAUCACAGUGUCCAUCUGGGCAGCUGGAGAGUCCUGGGAAGGCCUACAGGGUAGAGUCCUGGGCUCUGUUUCUGCACCUGGCAAACCAACAAAACAGGACAGCAGUCAGAGGAGCCAUCGCAGGCGGCAGCCAAGGGCAGGCUGCCUGUUCCCACUGGAGCACAGAUGGGGCACAGCCACCUGGCAGGCAAUGUACCAACAGUGGGAGGCCCAAGGCUCUCUUCAGCUACAGGUGGGUGCUGCUAAAGCCACUCUCAGGGGCAGCCCCAAGCCCAGGUCUUGCUUCACUGCUAAUUGCUAUAAGCACUGUGCUGCCGAAACUCAAUCUGGGUGGCCCUUAGCCACUCCCAAAUCUUGUCACAUGCUUGGUGAGCUCAGCUGUCUGCACACAAACCUUGUCAAGCAAGCAGGACAGAUGUUGUUAUUAGUCCCACUUUACAGAUGGGAAGCUGCGACAGAGCCGAACGGCCACCCAGGGAGUACAUGUCCUUGUCCCCGUGUGCCUUCUGCAGCCAGGCAGGAAAGGGGCAGCCCUACAUUCUCUGCGUUGCCCGUGAACACCAAGGGCUUUACAGAGGCGGCCACAAACAGCCGGAGACAUCCCUUCUAUUCAUGACUGACUCGCUAAGACACCCCAGCCUUCCUCCUCUUGUCUGGCAGUGUGCAUGUGGAAGGCAUGGCUUGUGGCCAGGCUGGGCCUCCCCCAAGAGCAGGGAGGCAUGCCUUCUGGGAUCCACCAAAAGAAGCUAUCUAUUCUGUACUUUUCCAGGUUUGGAGAAAGGAUUAAGCAGGGCCAACCUGAACUCCCAGCUCAACUUCUGCAUGACAGCUCUCCCUGCUGCCUUGGAGAGGUGCUCAGAGCAGGACAGUCUCUUUCUGCUGUCUGCAGCAGCCCAGGGAGGCAGCUGGGUGAUUCUGGAACUGUGUGGAGCACAGUGAGCAUUACCCCGUCUGGGGCCAGAGGUCAGUGGGGCAGGUUGUGUUCCCAGGGAAGCUGGCCAAGCCAGUUCCCUUUUGGUGGGCCUCUGGACUGACCCAUGGCUACAGCAGCACUCAGGGGUGGCAUCUGCAGCUAACAGGGAGAGGCUGCACCAGCUUCCCAUACAACUGUCUCCUGGAACACCUGACUGCAGCCUCCUUGGACUUGAUUUUCCAACAAGACAAGAAAAAAAGUGGCUGUGCUUCCUCCCGCCACACCCAUUCCUCUGUCCCCCUGCACCUUUCCCCAUCCCUUGGAGAAUGUGCAUCUUCAUAGGCACCUUGGGAGAUGCAGUGCAUCAGGGUCAUAAGGCAAGGAACCCGGAGAAGACGGAUGGGGACUCUGCAGGCUGUAAAGAGUCAAGCUGCCUCCAGCCCUCUGGGCCAGUCCUUGGUUCCCAUGACACUCACUGGCAGUGUUAAUAACUAACCACGGUCCAGACAGGUGUUGGCAGCGGGCUUUAGGAGUUCUUGUUCAGGGGUGGAAGUGAGUCAUUUCCCUUUUAUAGUUUGCUAGCAGACUGAGUCACCCAGAGCCGACCCUUUCACCCAAGCUCUCACACCCUGGCCACCUAAUGUACAGCCCAUACCUUAGAGCUACCUCCUUGCCUGGGCAGCUGAGCCCCGUGCAGCUGCUGCUGGGGUCCAGGCCAAACACCAUCCCAUCAAUGACCAGGUCUGUCUCUGGUCCCUUUUCCCCCACUGCCUCAGGUGGCCCAGCUGACUCCCUGUCCCUGUCUGAUGUGCUGUCUCGGGAAAACAGCACCUGACAGGUAGAGAGGCCUGUUAGGGCUGCCUCACCUUUGACCUUUAACUAAACAGUGCUCUCCUACCUCCCUCUCCGGACCAAAAAUCAGAAAUGAAAAGUUCCAGAGCCACGAACCAGAGAACAAAACUGCAAUGCAAAUCAGUUAGCUUCAUUGUCUUUGGGAAGGACUGAGGCUGAAGGUAGGUAAAUGGAGUCCCAUGACCGGGGGCACAACAAGCCUCCCUAUCGCAUGUCAGGCGGCUGGCAAGGCCAGGUCAGCAGGCUCCUAAGGUGGCUCUCAUCUCCUGGACAGAAACCAAACACAGGUCAGCUACAAGGAGAGACUGAGGUGUCUCCUUGGUAAUGCUUUUCCCCAUGCUCUUCUGGUCCCUCUUGGCAAUUUUUUUCUUUUAUUUCAAAAGAGAGUAAGAGGGAGAAAACAAAAACAUGCAAAAAACUAAAAACAAAAAGCAGGGCAAAAAAGAAAACCAAUCUCCCCAAAACAGAUUUCGAGAUUAUACUUUUUUCUUAGUCUCAGAAAGUCCCUUUCUUCUGUGCUUUCUAAUACAGGCAACCAACACACAGGACUCUGACAUUGGGUAGGACAGCACCAGUGUCUCACCGCUAGGGGCUUCAGCAGGUGUGGACUGGCAGGCGGGCAGAAAAGGACACUGUUUCUCUCCUCAGAAGGCAGAAAACAAGAGGGAAAAGUCACAGCAGAGGCUGUGCCAGGUAUAGCAAGGAACCUGACACUCUGCAGCAGUGCUGGCCUUGUGGGUGAACUGUGCUGGCUGUUCAGGACUACGCGUCCCCUCCCAGGCCUUACGACUUCCCCAAUACCCAGGUGUCACAGCCCAGCUCACCCCAGGCUGCCUCAUCUGCACACAGCCCCCUGGACUUUCCAAACUGCAUUUUGAAAUCUGUGUGCCGCAGCUGUGGGUCUAGUGGCCCUUCUCAGGUGAGGGGACAUUCCCUGGUCUUGUGCACAGCAUCUGAGACAGCAGCUGCCGACAGCAUCAGGGUCCGAGUGCCAAAGAGACGGACUCCACCCUGGGUGCUGGCUUGGGGGCACUGAAUGAGUCAUCGGGCCUGACCAGUAAGCGUGAUGUCCCUGGUGAAGUGGGAGGUCUGGGGACCCAGCCUGCUGCAGGGACAGGAACUGAAGUGACUCACAGUUGGACCCCAAGGGGAAGUUCCAUUCUGGUGUCCUCUGGAUGACUCUGGUCCCUGGGUGAGCUCAUCCCCGUCACUGCUGACACUCAGACCAGGACUUGAUUUUUGUUCCCAGCGCCACUGGCACCUUUUCACUCUUAGUUAUGGGGGUGGCAUCGUCAUCCAAGUGCAGCACCUCUGUGCUCAGCACACACAUGCGUGAUGAAUGGAGCUAACCACAGCGUGCAUCCUCCCUGGGCAUCCAGCUUCUCAUCAGUGAGCACGGCCCUCAUCCUGCUGACCUCAGACAGGAGCAUUGGGGGCUGUGAGGCAGUGAAUGUGACAGCUCUUUGAAGGAAGUUUGCAAAGCCAGAACCAGUGAGCAAUGCUGAGGUUACUGUUUCUGACUACUGCCUCAGGGUCCAGCCAAGAGGCUCCCAUCUUUCUCCCUCUUCCUGGACUGGGCCCAGGUGGAAAAGGGUUCCCACCAAAGUCAUCACAGAACACACUUGACAUUGGCAGAAACAGGUCACAGCCCCUCCACUCAUCCUGCCCCUUCUUUAUUCCAAGUGUCUCCAACAGAGCAUGCAAAUGUUACCAUAGCUUCGCCAGGCAGAGGCAGGUCCUUGACUAGCUCUUCUGCCACACACAGGAGCUAUAAAGAAGUCUCCCAAAGAAGGAUGGUAGGCAGCCACCCCCUUAUGGGCUCAGCUGUCAGCUCACACACAGUCACAAGACACUGGCUGACAACCGCCAUGACCAAGACCUUGUACAUACCUUUGAAGGAAGACACACUGCCUCAGAUGAAGAGCUCCAGGGUACUUGUGACCUGCCCUUCUUUGAUGGCCACAGUAGUUACAGAGUGAAAGACAAGAGAGACUGACGGAAGACCCCGUUCAUUUCUGCAAUUGGAGCUGCACUUGGAGGGAUGAGGCAGAUAAAGGAAAGCAUCAGGCUGCCAGAUGGCAGGGAGAGCUCUGAAGCGGCCUGGAGGGACUCUGUGGGAGGGUCACCAGCAGUGUGAACUACACUGUGGCCUGAUGAUGCCACGCUCAGACUAUGCUGUGGCCUGAUGAUGCCACGAGUCAGGAGUCCUGUGAGCCUCCUGGGCAAACACAACCAGAAGGGGAGACACGCCUGUGUUCCCACUCGCUUGGUUUUCUUUCCCAUCCUUUGAUGCUGGGCCUACAGUGUGUUCCAUGGUAGCUUUACAGAGGGGAAGAGGCCCCUCCAGCACCCACCCAAGAGGAGAUCCUGAAUCAGACAGUCACUGGUGCUAAGAAUCAGCUCCUGUGACAUUCACGGUGUCUCAGCUCAUCCUCAGCAUCACCGUCAUGUUCUGUUGUCAGAGGUUGGCUUCCUGGUUCUAUUCCUGGCCCCGCAACUGCUGCUGGCUCAUGGGAAGGUACAGGCGUAAAGCGUUCCUUAACCCAUCACAAGGUGGCAUGGUGAGUACUGGGUUUAAGAAAGAGGUAAAGGGGCUGGGGAUUUAACUUAGCAGCAUAAGCACCUGCUUUGCAAGCAGGCAGUCAUGAGUUCGAUUCCUGGUACUGAUAAAAAAGAAAAAGAAAAGGACAAAAAAAAAAAAA